GAACGCUGGCGGCAUGCCUUACACAUGCAAGUCGAACGGCAGCACGGGAGCAAUCCUGGUGGCGAGUGGCGAACGGGUGAGUAAUAUAUCGGAACGUGCCCGGUCGUGGGGGAUAACGUAGCGAAAGCUACGCUAAUACCGCAUACGAUCUACGGAUGAAAGCGGGGGAUCGCAAGACCUCGCGCGAUUGGAGCGGCCGAUAUCAGAUUAGGUAGUUGGUGAGGUAAAGGCUCACCAAGCCGACGAUCUGUAGCUGGUCUGAGAGGAUGAUCAGUCACACUGGAACUGAGACACGGUCCAGACUCCUACGGGAGGCAGCAGUGGGGAAUAUUGGACAAUGGGCGAAAGCCUGAUCCAGCCAUGCCGCGUGUGUGAAGAAGGUCUUCGGAUUGUAAAGCACUUUAAGUUGGGAGGAAGGGUAGUAACCUAAUACGUUGCUACUUUGACGUUACCGACAGAAUAAGCACCGGCUAACUUCGUG
rnacentral:rRNA from 1 species